AAUGCAUUUCUGGCCACAUUCCUGGGCAUUUCCCAUUUUCGUUCCUGUUUCUUCGAGAAAGUGUUUGAAAGAGAGGGCAUUUCUGGCCACAUUCCUGGGCAUUUCCCAUUUUCGUUCCUGUUUGUUCGAGGAAGUGUUUGAAAGAGAGGGCAUUUCCCAUUUUCGUUCCUGUUUGUUCGAGGAAG